AGGAGACAUGGCGAGAUGUCAAAUUUGAAAUAAAAUAAACAAACAAGAAACAAUGCCCAGUGGACUACAUGAAUUUUAAAUUUAAGAAGCCUGUAAGAGAUACACUUUAAGGGUCCCAGCAUUUUUGCGUUUCGAGAUGCCACUUGCCGCCUACAAAAACUCCAAGGAAC